CAGUCGCCGCGGUAAUGCGUAGGUGGCAAGCGUUGUCCGGAAUUAUUGGGCGUAAAGGGCUCGCAGGCGGUUUCUUAAGUCUGAUGUGAAAGCCCCCGGCUCAACCGGGGAGGGUCAUUGGAAACUGGGAAACUUGAGUGCAGAAGAGGAGAGUGGAAUUCCACGUGUAGCGGUGAAAUGCGUAGAGAUGUGGAGGAACACCAGUGGCGAAGGCGACUCUCUGGUCUGUAACUGACGCUGAGGAGCGAAAGCGUGGGGAGCGAACAGGAUUAGAUACCCGGGUAGUCCCUGUCUCUUAUAC
rnacentral:rRNA from 1 species